CACGUAGGGCGCAAGCGUUGUCCGGAAUCAUUGGGCGUAAAGAGCGCGUAGGCGGCUAGAUAAGUCCGGUGUGAAAGUCACAGGCUCAACCUGUGAAUGCCGCUGGAAACUGUCUGGCUAGAGUCCGGAAGGGGCGAGUGGAAUUCCUGGUGUAGCGGUGAAAUGCGCAGAUAUCAGGAGGAACACCAAUGGCGAAGGCAGCUCGCUGGGACGGUACUGACGCUGAGACGCGAAAGCGUGGGGAGCAAACAGG
rnacentral:rRNA from 1 species